rnacentral:rRNA from 1 species
UGAGGAAUAUUGGUCAAUGGGCGGAAGCCUGAACCAGCCAAGUCGCGUGAGGGAAGACGGCCCUAUGGGUUGUAAACCUCUUUUGUCGGGGAGCAAAGCCGUCCACGUGUGGGCGGAAGGAGAGUACCCGAAGAAAAAGCAUCGGCCAACUCCGUGCCAGCAGCCGCGGUAAUACGGAGGAUGCGAGCGUUAUCCGGAUUUUAUUGGGUUUAAAGGGUGCGUAGGCGGCAUGGUAAGUCAGCGGUCAAAUCGAGGGGCUCAACCCCUUCCGUCCGCUGAAUCAUGUCGUGCUUGAGUGGGCGAGAAGUAUGCGGAAUGCGUGGUGUAGCGGUGAAAUGCAUAGAUAUCACGAAGAACUCCGAUCGCGAAGGCAGCCUGCUAAGCUGCAACUGACAUUGAGGCUCGAAAGUGUGGGUAUCAAACAGGAUUAGAUACCC